GUGUCAGCCGCCUCGGUAAUACGUAGGGGGCAAGCGUUGUCCGGAAUCAUUGGGCGUAAAGGGCGCGUAGGCGGUCAUUUAAGUCAGUGGUGAAAACCCAGGGCUCAACCCUGGGAAUGCCAUUGAAACUGGGUGACUUGAGUGCAGGAGAGGUAAGUGGAAUUCCCGGUGUAGCGGUGAAAUGCGUAGAUAUUGGGCGGAAAACCGAUGGCGAAGGCGACUUACUGGACUGUGUCUGACGCUGAGGCGCGAAAGCUAGGGGAGAGAACAGGAUUAGAUACCCUGGUAUUCCUAGCUGGAAACGAUGGGGACUAGGUGGGGGGGGUAUCGACCCCUUCCGUGCCGGAGUGAACGCAAUAAGUACCCCGCCUGGGGAGUACGGCCGCAAGGUUGAAACUCAAAUGAAUUUGAGG
rnacentral:rRNA from 1 species